UGUAAUACUAACGAUCUAUGAAAUUUACAAGCUCACAUAAAGACUGUUCAUUACUGCUAAUUCUAUUUUAGCUAUACUAUACUUACUAUACUGAUAUUCUAGCUAUAUUAUACUACUUGCCAGAGUCACACAGUGAGCCCUCUCCGUCCUGGUCCAUAGCUCUAGCGUCUAGGUCCAUGUCAUGCAUGUCCUCAGUCCCAGACAGUUCAUCAGCGUCUGGCAUAAAGCUGGUAGCCUUUGGAAGGUAUCCUACUAUCCCCUCUCCUUCAUAGGCACUGUCAUCACCAGAGGAGACAUCGCCAUUGCUGUCCUCAAGCUGUUCAAGCACAUCGGCACAACUGACCCCUCCCCACAACCCCCUGGCAGACUCGUCUGGUGGACCUCGGAUACCAACUCUCAGCAUCUGCCACAUCGAUUUCCCCCCAAAUCUCACCUCCUCAACGUCGUCUAGCUCUGCCGCAACACACCAGGCCCAUGGCAUCUAAAUGCAGCUGCAAGUACACGACUGGGUCGUGCAACAGCUGUGUGUGUGUGCCCAGGAAGGUAGAACCGGCAGCAACUGCAUCAGAGCUACAGGUGCACAAAUAAGACGACAUCCAUUUAUUUAGGAGGCCUGCAGAGCUAACUGUCUUCAGAUUGAUGGAUUUCAGAUAGAGUUGACACCUUUGAUUCCAACCCCACCAGGUGCAGCCUCUUCGUCAGCCACCCCAGAAACCACGGCGUCCAGAGAAAUUUAUUUGGGAGGCCUCCCUGCGCGUACCACCAAAGGGGAUAUCAGGGAGCCCUCCGUUGUUUUGGCGGCACCAGCAGUCUGGUCUUACCAGGAGGGAGAAAAGGAAGGGGGCACACUUCCGCUCAUAAUCGCUAUAAAAGAGCGGGCAGUGCUGGUGCUAAACAAUCAGCAACUAAAACAGAGUGGACUCGACUAUCUUCAACUGCCUCACCUCACAUCAGAAAACUGAUAUAUACACCUCACAUCAGCAUGGUAUGCUGCAGAUGUAAAAAAGGACUAUGUAGCGGGUGUGUGUGUGCCUAGGGGGGCACACCCUGUACAAAUUGUUGCAGCACAAGAUGCUCAAACCAGGCUAGUUCUUCCACCAAGUGUGCAGCACUACUCCCGAACCCACCAGCCCUAGCUAGGGGCCUGACCCUACGGUUGAAGCGUUGCGUGAGUGUCCCGAACAAUUAUGCCUUAAUGACAACAUGUAGCCAACAACGACACUAUGAGUGUCAGUGCUGGUCCAUCCAUUAUACCCCACUCCCUAACUCACCAGAAAGGCAGCUAGUAGAAUGAAGGUCUCCAGCACUGCAAACCACGAGCUCUCUAUCAGGUUCCCGCUAGUCAGCUAGUUCCCCCUCCACCUAAGAGGAAACGUUCACAUCCAGAGAAAUUUACUUAGGAGGCCUCCCUCCCCGCACCAUGAAGGGGGACAUAAGAAUUGCCCUCCAUUGUUUUGGAGGAACCAGCGUGAGUCAUUUUUAAGUGCAUGGUGGUUCGACAAAUUAACAUGUGCUUUACUUCUCUGUUGUGCAGUCGGUGGACAUCCCAUGGGCGAAGGGAAGGGAGGGGUUAGUACCAUCCACUCACAAUAAUUAUUGUAUAAGUAAACCAUUAUACUUUCUGUAUCGGGUUUGCCUUCAUUACAUUUUUUAAUGAACUCUCAGCAAAAUGGCCUUAGGAAAAAAAUAUAUAAUUAUUGAUCAAAGGACAAAGUGUAAGUUUUUAAUUUGUUCCUGUUUUUAGAAUUUUGUGUGAUGUGCUGGCACCAUGCAUGCACUUUGUCUGCAGGUUGAAAUCAAAAAAAAAAGAGUAGUGACUGUAUGUACUUGUGUUGGUUAAUUGUAUUUCUAAUUAGAGUCUUUGUGUGUACGUAUGUGUGUGAAUUGAUUUUAGCCAAAUCACUCAAAUGCUGUCUACAUUGUGUUGCAUGCACUGUACUGAGCACAAUAUAUAGAACCUCUCACAAGAAGGUGCAUGAUCACCAUGAUGGCAAGUAGAUCCCCUCCAACCAGCUGGUUCAAUUGUGAACACCCACUCACUGACAUUAGACCACAUUUGCCAGUAGCUACCUUUGACCCAAUAGCCAACAACGAUCCUAAUAACGCAAAAAGAGUGAUUCUAACCAAUUGCUAAAUCUAUAUAAUAUUAUAUACACAUCCAUUAUUAUAUCCACGAUUGCAUGCACAAGCACACUUCUUGUAAUACACUUGUGUCACGCACUGUCAUCCACUCCUUUACAGACGCCUUUGUUUUCUACCCCACCUCCUGAGCAGCCACAAACAUCCCUGCAGGUUCAUCUGGUCCAUCAGCAGAAACCGUGAGGGCCAUGUAUAUAUUAAUGUGAAUGCAUGUAGUGUUCCAUAUUAUGUUAGAGAGUUUCGUGGACACCUUCCGUCACCUGUAUCCCGACCUCGCUGGAGCGUACACUUACCAGUUCAACGCCAGAGCCAAGAACACUGGCUGGACACUUCUAAUUACCCCGGACUCUCUUUUGGGCAAUUUUCGUUGUUCUAAUACAACGGACACUCCAGUGCUUUAAUAUUACAUUUGUUCUAAAUAUCCGGACAAUACUUUGAAAAGAGACUGGAUUAUUUCGUGGUGUCUGAGCGGCUCCUCCCUCAUGUAACUGAUGUGGUGAUUCGUAAGGAGGUGUUUGGGAGCGACCGUUGCCCAUUGGUGAUUGGAUUGACAGACCACACCCACAAGAGAAUGACGAACCCUGAAUUGAUUGGCUAUCACUAGCUGCAUUUAGCCAUUAUACGACUAUCUAACAUAGAAUGCAAACAAAUAACAGUUAAUGUGAGCACUUUUACUUAUAUGUUCUGGUGAUGACUACGUUUUUCAUCUUUCUCCCUCUAUUUUCUAUAUGGUUGCCAUGGUGUUGC